rnacentral:tRNA from 1 species
GGGGAUGUAGCUCAGUUGGUAGAGGGCUUGUCUCACAUGUAGAAGGCCCUGGGUUCAAUCCCCAGUAGCACCC